CUGUGGGCUUUGCUCGCUCCACAGCAGGAGACUUGUGGCUUCCUUGGAAGCUGCUCUUUUUUUGUGGUCCCACUGCCUUGGAGGGUGCAGCAGAGGUUCAGCACAGUUGGCUGCACGCAUGCAGCAGAGGUUCAGCCCAUCCAUCUGCUCAGCCCCUCUCAGCACAGAGAGUCCCCCAGCCCAGGCUCUGCUCCCCAUGAUCAGGGCACUUCCAAAACCCAUCCCACAUGAUGCUGCCUAAUCAAUUUCUAACUGCUUCUUGUAUUGUUGCCUAGAAAUUAAACCCCUAGGGGUUUAAUCUAAAUGAUUUAAUAUAUAUGCAAAAGGAU